rnacentral:SRP_RNA from 1 species
GCCCGGCGCGGUGGCUCACGCCUGUAAUCUCAGCACUUUGGGAGGCCGAGGCGGGCAGAUCACAAGGUCAGGAGUUCGAGACCAGCCUGGCCAACAUGUGAAACCCCGUCUCUACUAAAAAUACAAAAAUUAGCCAGGCAUGGUGGGUGCCUGUAAUCGCAGCUACUAAGGAGGCUGAGGUAGGAGAAUCACUUGAACCCAGGAGGCUAAAUUUUGUAUUUUUAGUAGAGAUGGGGUUUCGCCAUGUUGGCCAGGCUGGUCUCGAACUCCUGACCUCAGGUGAUCCACCUGCCUCGGC